rnacentral:rRNA from 1 species
GAUGAACGCUGACAGAAUGCUUAACACAUGCAAGUCUUUGGCGAAGCUGUGCUUGCACAGCCUAGCCAAGGCGGACGGGUGAGUAACGCGUAAGGAACUUGCCCUGCAGUCAGGGAUAACAGACGGAAACGACUGAUAAGACCUGGUAAAGUCAGGCGGACUCAUGUCCAGCCUGAUGAAAAGAGAUGCUGCAGGAGAGCCUUGCGUCCUAUUAGCUUGUUGGUGGGGUAACGGCCCACCAAGGCGAUGAUAGGUAGCCGGCCUGAGAGGGUGGACGGCCACAAGGGGACUGAGAUACGGCCCUUACUCCUACGGGAGGCAGCAGUGGGGAAUAUUGGACAAUGGGGGCAACCCAGAUCCAGCAAUUCUGUGUGCACGAUGAAGGUUUUCGGAUUGUAAAGUGCUUUCAGCAGGGAAGAAAAAAAUGACGGUACCUGCAGAAGAAGCGACGGCUAAAUACGUG